rnacentral:rRNA from 1 species
UACGAAGGGGGCUAGCGUUGCUCGGAAUCACUGGGCGUAAAGGGUGCGUAGGCGGGUCUUUUAAGUCAGGGGUGAAAUCCUGGAGCUCAACUCCAGAACUGCCUUUGAUACUGAGGAUCUUGAGUUCGGGAGAGGUGAGUGGAACUGCGAGUGUAGAGGUGAAAUUCGUAGAUAUUCGCAAGAACACCAGUGGCGAAGGCGGCUCACUGGCCCGAUACUGACGCUG